rnacentral:lncRNA from 1 species
GAUUGGAAUGGAUUAAAUGCGGAUUGGGAUUGAUGGGAUUGGGAUGAGGAUGGAUGGGAUGAUAAUGGGAUUGGGAUGAAAUGGGAUUGGGAUGGGAUGGAUGGGAUUAAUAGGAUUGGGAUGAAUGGGAUUGGGAUGGGAUGGAUGGGAUUAAUGGGAUUGGGAUGGGAUGGGAUUGGGAUGGGAUGGAUGGGAUUAAUAGGAUUUGGGAUGGGAAUUGGAUGGGAUGGGAUUAAUUAGGAUUGGGAUG